rnacentral:lncRNA from 1 species
AAAUUUAAAUGGAAAGUAAAUAUCAAGUUGUUAGCAUUAAAGAAAACCCAUUUCAGAGAGCUGGAGAUGUAACAUUCGAGGGACCUUCUCUCUCCUUCACUCUUCCUCACUUUUCUUUCAUUUUCCUUUGUUCCUUUCUUCCCCCUCAUUUUCCUCAUUCUCUCUGUCUCUCCUUCUUUCCUGUUCUCAGAUUCUCAGGCAGGAGAAGCCUUCGUUUCCCUGAGAUGGCUUCUGAACUGCUGCUUUGGACCAGACCUCGCUUAAACUGAGGUUCAAAGCUGUGAAGGGCUCAGGACCAUCCUCUGGCCCUUUCCUCUGGAGCCUGCUCGACAACCCUCCCUGCUGUCAGUGCCUGGAGCCGGGCUGGGCAGAGCCAGGGAAGGUGGCAUCUGCACCCGGAGCACCACGUGCCCUCGCUGCUGUGAGCUGAGAAAUCUCGGAUACAGAAGACUCUCUUUGUGUGCCUAAAAGGAAGUGAUAAUCUGAAGUCCAUGUAAAAACAUUUAAUGGCAAAACCAAGGUAAUGGACAGCAGAGUCCCGUGAACAGAAUGGACAGCAGAAUAGACUCCCAAAGCCUGACUUCUUCUAUCAACACCAUUUUUACCUUAGUACAAUCAGAUGCAGAACAACCCAAACUCUUUCAGCACCAGGAAGGGGGCACGGCUGCCUUUUGACUGAGACACUGUGGUGACUUCAAGUUUCUUCUUACCACUGUUUGCAGGAUUCAGUUGGAUUUGGAACAAACAUUUACUCUUUAUCUCCAAAGACAACAUUUGUUGAGCUUUGGGAGUCUCGGUGAAGCCGAAGGUUUAACAGCCAUUCAGAACAGGCCUGGAUGCAGAGCCAACAGCACGGUGUGAUAAUGCCACAGGGCAUCAUGGGUUUAAAUUAUAGGCGCUCUCGACAUUCCUCUUCCUAUAUGGGGACACAGGACUGUGUCCUUCCCCGGCUUCCAUCUGUUCCUUCACUUACUUGCUGUUUCUGCCGUCAGGGUGAGGAUGAGGUUGGAGAGCAGGAGCAGCCCUGGAGUUCAGUUAAUGGAGUUUCCCACUAGGUGGUAGUGAAGAGAAUCGCGUCACAGGUACCGGUUGGCAGCUAUACCUGUCAUGUCCUUUCCUGAAAGGUGAAGUGUCUACAAGAAGCUUCUCUGGUUCUCUUUCCACCUCCAUUAUAGUAGAAUGAAGACCGGUUAGCUAAAUGUCAUCUGAUGACAUUUAAGCAAUUUGGAGGUGAGAACUCUUUGUAGCCAGUACUUCCAUCUGAUUUUUCUCCACCGCACUUGCCUCUGGGACCUACCCUUCCAAACAUUAAAAGGAAAAAACACACACCUUGUUUUUGUUUGUUGCUAGUUUAUAAAUACCUUGACAGGUCAAAGUGAUGCAUCAGUCUACAUCAAAGGUUCCAGACAGAACAGGUAUUUUGGAAGGACUUUGUAAUGUCAGAGUAAACUGCUACUGAAAUGCAGAGUAAAGCUCUCUUGUAGGUCCAAAGAAAGGCUGUACAAAAGAUAUGAUGAGAAAAUUAUCUGGGGAAUGCAAGCAGUGCUCCAAUUUGCUGGGUCUGCAAGGAGGAAUAAAUUUCUCCUGUGAAUUCAUGUCACUGCUACCCUGUAAUGACAGAGCAAGCCUGUGAAAUCAUUUAGUAGUCUAGUCACAAAGCCUGAGAUGCUGACAAAAAUUAUACUUCAAUUGCUCAUCAACUAUAAAUCAUUUGUGCCAAAUUAAUGUGCUGGAAAUUUUGCAAGACUGAGAAACUGGAAGCUAUUUCAAUAAGAACACAAAGCAGGGCUGCUGUUUCAUAGAUACCAAUAUCAGUUUUACAUUCUGUUCUCAGGGGAAAAAAAUUUAAGAAAGGCUCUUUAGUACCACGACAAGGCUGAAGCACUGAUUUCUCUUUCCCAGCAUUCAUUCAGAAGAUGGAGAGGUUCUUUUUUGCUCUUGCCUUUAUCAUGAUCACUGCAAAGGGCGGCGCCAACAGGCAUCCCAGAGACACUGGGGUUGUACCACGGCAGAGUGAGGACUCCAAAUUAUCUGUUUUCUAAUGGUUACUGUAGAUUUUUCUGCCGUGCUGAGGGAGAAUAAAGGCAGGGAACUUCUCUGUUGUUCAAGUCCUACCCAGAGCCUGAGUAUUUUUUCACUGGGAUGUGCAUGUGUGGGAAUACUAGAAUUUCCACCCAAACUGACUGACUAGGGUACGUACCCCAGUGCUCAACAAGCUGAGCAUGACUCACUCCUGUCCUCGUGUCAAACCCACCAAAGCUUUCUGUACCUCCUGAGACGGGGACAAGUACAAGUAAGUUAUUAGAGGGCAAAAGAGUUACAUGGUCAAAUAGGGGAGAACGUUUUUCGAAGUAGCCCAGCUUGAGCUGCAUGAGAAGAAACGUUAGUGUUACCAUCUAAUGCUUCCAGUACCUCCAGCUGCCAUGACAGCCCCAGUAAGCAAGUCAGUCACAGUACUUUGAGUAUUUCCACCUCAAAACUGAUAGAGCCGAAUCUCAAGCAGAUUUUAGUGAGUGGGUACUGAUCACAUCAGUAGUUCUAGGGUCAUUCCUGUCCCCAAGGCCAAAGGGCUGUGAAAAGCACACAUGAUUUGGAUGCUGAGGUGUGACAACCCAAAUUGCUUGUAAGACCUCAGAAGAAGGCAGAAGGGAGAAAAGAUGACUUCACGUCCGGUGCAGCUUGUAACCGUGUUUUCAGUGCAUAAAGGGAGAGGUGACAGAGGGAAGAGGUCCAGCACCAUCUCACUGAAAGCACUGGUUAGCUGAAGCACAGGAAUCCCAGGUGUUCCCUCUGCUGAGAACAAGAAAGUGUGUUGUAUACGGAGCAUCCUCCUGUGGUGCCCCGAGCUUCAGCUGCCUGGAACGUGCUGCUGCUUCCUCUUCGCUGACGAAGGAUGAAGUGAGCCCCCCACAAUUACACAGAGAACCAGUCACAGAAGAAACGAGCCAUUCCUUACUUUUAAUCCUGUGCUACUACUACACGCCAGCCCAACUUUUUUUCCACUUAAAAGAAUAAAGGAGACAGAUAAAUGGAAAUAAUUUAUUCAAUCCACUAAUAGAAAUAAAUGAGAGUGGGCUCAAAAUGCCCCUUUAGAGGCAUCUGGCAUUUCUGGAGAUGCAAGGAGAGCGUUCCAUUAAUUUUCUGAAGAUUUUAGCGAAAUUAUAUUAAGGUAUAGAAUUCCUCCAUACAUUUUCUUUAAUAAACCCAAAUACCUAUUUUUACCAGACCCAGGCAUUGUUCUUCUAUUUAUAUUUAAUGCAGUUACGUCACCUCCAACUCUAAGUUAAAACUGGCUCUUCUCCCUCCCACACGAGAAGGAACAAAGAACGAGGCUGCACAGCUGGACUGGAACAAUCGCUCCGCGCUCUGCGAAGCCCCACACGCACAAACGGCUCCCGUGCAGGAACGGGAGGUGGGAUUAAUUCAAGGGAGCAGACCCAAGAUAAGAUGCUAGUUCUGCAAUUGGCAGAAACACAAUCAGGGACUGAAGAUUUGGCGAUGGCACCAAAGAAACCAAGGGGAGAGAUGAGCGGGAUCAGCGGCUGCCAGUUCCUCUGCCUGGGACUUGCAGGGACGGUGGUAACAUGAA